GGAGCUGUUUAGUAGGUUCAGAGUUGCACAAACAUGUAAGAUUAUUCUGGCUCUCUCGAAGCUGCUCAGAUACUUAGUAGAGACACAAAAGCUUCCAACAAAGAGAUCUCAGACUGAAUUGUGUAGGAAUUUGUUGGUCUUCUAGGAUUUCGUGUGAGAUUACUUGAAAUCAAUCAAGUAUUGGAAUUAAUCCAUCACCACCAGGUUCCAUAUCUUUCUCCCUCACGACUUCCAAUCCAUCUUAACCCAUCCAUUUUUUUCAUGCUUUCUUUGGAGCUGUUUGGUACAUGUGUGGUUGCGGAGCUGCAGAAACUGGAUAAAGAUUAUUCCUACACAUAAUCUUCCCUUCCCUUUCUCCCUGCCAUAUUUAUCUAUAAUUGAUAAUGUCAAGUGAGGGUGGCGGUGGAUUCUGUGAUUCCUCCAAGCGUAGGAGUAUACGUCUCCCCCAUCUUACCCACUCCGUAAGAACCUCUCUCCUCUGUUUUUUUUAUUUUUCUUUCGGUCUUCUGGUUUGAAUCUGAACAAAAUCUUAACUUUCCUCAGCCACGAAUCAUGAGAAGGUUAGUACAUGAUCAGACCUGCAUAUUUUAGGCACCAGCACCAUAUAAUGGAUUUGAUUGAAAUGAAUGGCUCGGGGGUGUCUUAUAACUCUUUAUGCCAAUCAAAACUCUUGUAGGCAAUAAGACGACUCAGACAAAUGAGAGAGGUAUUAUUUACGGAACCUGAAGCAGAAAAAAUUGAAACAAGCAAAUCAGAGUCUUAGUGAUAUCUGAUAUGUAACAAUCUUUAGUGAAGCUUUGUCUGUGAGCCAAAAUGCAUACUGUCGAUGCACAUGUUUUUCUAUGUUUAAACAAACAUGAAUAAUUUAUAAAGAUAUAAAGCUUACAUGAACAA